rnacentral:rRNA from 1 species
UACGUAGGGUGCAGCGUUAAUCGGAAUUACUGGGCGUAAAGCGUGCGCAGGCGGUGAUGUAAGACAGAUGUGAAAUCCCCGGGCUCAACCUGGGAACUGCAUUUGUGACUGCAUCGCUGGAGUGCGGCAGAGGGGGAUGGAAUUCCGCGUGUAGCAGUGAAAUGCGUAGAUAUGCGGAGGAACACCGAUGGCGAAGGCAAUCCCCUGGGCCUGCACUGACGCUCAUGCACGAAAGCGUGGGGAGCAAACAGG